AUUGAACGCUAGCGGCAGGCUUUACACAUGCAAGUCGAACGAGUGGCGGACGGGUGAGUAAUAUAUCGGAACGUGCCUAGUUGCGGGGGAUAACUACUUGAAAGAGUGGCUAAUACUGCAUACCAUUGGAACGGCCGAUAUGGGGUUAGCUAGUUGGUGGGGUAAAGGCUCACCAAGGCAACGAUCCGUAGCUGGUGUGAGAGGACGACCAGCCACACUGGAACGGAGCCACGGCCCAGACUCCUACGGGAGGCAGCAGUGGGGAAUGUUGGACAAUGGGGGGAACCCUGAUCCAGCCAUGCCGCGUGUAUUAGAAGACCUUCGGGUUGUAAAGUACUUUUGGCGUAGAAGCGGUAUCUGCAGAAUAAGCACCGGCUAACUACGUGCCAGCAGCCGCGGUAAUUC
rnacentral:rRNA from 1 species